AGUUUAACUGUUCCUUGAAAGAGAUAGAAAAUGAUGUGAAAUAUUCUUUCAUUUUCCCUACCACCAAACCAAACACGGCCCUAUUGCUCAAUGCUCAUCCCUGCACUGUACAUCAUCAUUAAGAAAAAAACAGCUUCAAUGUCAAUUUUCUACAUUUCUUCAAUUUCCAAUUCGGAACUCCUCUCUCAGUUUAUACAAUAGUCGACAAAGCUUUUUCAAAUCCCUAACUUUACGAUACAAAGAUAAUGAUUCUCCAACUAUGAGCUUCAAGCAACUCACUUCAGGAUUUAGGUUCUGCAGUUCAAGCUGAUCAAUGGCAAAAAUUAGUAGGCAGGUACUGCAAUCCCAAUCAGAUAGAUCUGGCGUACAUUGAGCAAGAGUGUAAAUUGUUUGAUGAUCAUUCAAUUUUACCAAUCUUGUUUCGUAAUUCUUAGUAGUACUCUCUCCUGUUUGCAAAUUAUUCACUUCAUAUAAAAUAUCUGCUAGUUUCCAAGUGGCGAAGCUUUGCAGCAGGUUCGGGUUUAAAGCCAAAUUGAAUUGGUGAAAUUUUGGAGCACUUGUAUUGAUACCUGAAAGAAGAGAAUGAUAGGAAUAGCGAAGUAAGCAUUUAUCGUACCAAAUUAUAGCCUCUUUGGAGGUAGGACACUCUGAGGAUAUUCUUUUGGUUGCAUCCUGGACACAUAACUGACAGAGGGUAGGGGAGAGGGAGAUAUCACCGCGGCACAUAAAGAGGCCAUUGACCGUGUCGACAGUUGUCUUGAAGAAACUGGUUCUGAUGGCAUUGGAAGACAAUGAAGAGAAUAGUGUUCUGAGAUUUGAUAGAAAAUUGUUGUUCAUGGUUUCAUUGCUUGUACAAUUGUGGGAAAGAUAAGCUGGAUGCUGUGAGUAUUUUGAAUCAAUUGUAUUGGAAGCUGGAACGACAUCUUGUGGUGUUGGGGUAUUACUGGGGCGAUAGAAAGGGUACACGUCAUAUUUGAUGUAACAAUU